UACAGAGGAUGCAAGCGUUAUCCGGAAUGAUUGGGCGUAAAGCGUCUGUAGGUGGCUUUUUAAGUCUGCCGUCAAAUCCCAGGGCUUAACCCUGGACAGGCGGUGGAAACUACACAGCUAGAGUACGGUCGGGGUAGAAGGAAUUCCUGGUGUAGCGGUGAAAUGCGUAGAGAUCAGGAAGAACACCGGUGGCGAAAGCGUUCUGCUAGACCUGUACUGACACUGAGGGACGAAAGCUAGGGGAGCGAAUGGG
rnacentral:rRNA from 1 species